GCCCUUUUGGCUCAGUGGAGAGAGCAUUAGCCUAUGGACUGAAUGCCAGGUUCGAUUCCGGUCAAGGGCA
rfam:Myotis davidii contig318081, whole genome shotgun sequence.